GAUGGAACGUAGCGAAAUGCGAUAAGUAAUGUGAAUUGCAGAAUUCAGUGAAUCAUCGAAUCUUUGAACGCAUCUUGCGCUCCUUGGUAUUCUGAGGAGCAUGCCUGUUUGAGUGUCAUUAAAUUCUCAACUACACUGACUUUGAAUUGGUGUGGCUUGGAUUUGGGGGGGAAAAUUGUUGUGGGCUUUUUGUAUAGUCUGCUCCCCUGAAAUUGAUUAGCGGUACCUUUGUGGAACUGUCUACAGGUGUGAUAAUUAUCUACAUCCUAGACAUCUGCUGGAAUGCUGCUUUCUAAACCUUACUUGUAUUGACAAUCUUGACCUCAAAUCAGGUAGGACUACCCGCUGAACUUAAGCAUAUCAAUAAGCGGAGGA
rnacentral:misc_RNA from 1 species